UGUACAAUUUGGAGUUUAGUAUGGUGUUCAUUAUCACUGAACUAGUAUAUAUUUGUUUAGGGGCCAGCUGAAGGACGCCUCCGGGUGCGAGAAUUUCUCGUUGCAUUGAAGACCUGAUGGUGACCUUCUGCUGGUGUUCGCUCUAUGGUCGGGAUGUUGUCUCUUUGACACAUUCCCCAUUUCCAUUCUCAAUUUUAAUAUGAAACAAAACAAGUCGUCACUUUAAUGGCGAUUUUUACUCUAGAAAUUAUAGUAUAAAAAAAAGAAAAAAAAGGGAAAUAUCAGUAACGUUUUUAAUUAUUUGUACAUUCAUCAUCAUUUGUGUUUAGUUUUCAACACUGUAAAGUACCUGUACACAUAUUUUACAUAGCCAUAUGGAUUGAAAAUCAAAUCAGAGGAACCUACGACUUUUAUACAUAUGUCACAGGUCACUAGUAACUGGACUUGAUAUUAUCUAAAACUUGUUUUAUUAUAUUGUAUGUAUUGUUUAUGCAAUGUAUUUGUAGAAUCACGUCAUGAUUUACAUAUUUAUAAACAACUACCACCACAUUCUUCACGUGUCUGUCCCAAAUCAGGAGCAUGUUAUUCAGUGGAUGUCGUUGGUUAUCUGUUUGUCUGUCUGUCUGUUUGUUUCAUGAAUUGGUUUGUAUUCUCUCCAACUCCUUUAUUGUCUUAUAUUCACGCUUUAAGUGAAUACAUUGAACUGUGAAAAUACAGCAUCAUUGAACUAGAAAUUGCUAGAAUGGUUUAUAUAUAUAUGGAUACUUUUUUUUUCUCAGUAGAACAAAAGCAAAAACAAAUAGAACUAGCAUGGCAUGCACGCAUGAUAAAAAAAUGGAAGAUUGCUUCACCUUUCUAUUGAACGUCAACUUAAAAACUUGACAAAAUCGUAAGACCCAUUUUGGUUAACAGCUGUGGUUUCAGUAAUACUUCUUUUAUUGAAAGAGAAUUUAAUCUUAUGCAAACUUUCCCGCUAACUGAUCAAAAUAAAAUUGAGAAUGGAAAUGGGGAAUGUGUCAAAGAGACAACAACCCGACCAUAUAACAAACAACAGCAGAAGGUCACCAACAGGUCUUCAAUGCAGCUAGAAAUUAUCGCACCCGUCAAUGCAGCUAGAAAUUAUCGCACCCGGAAGCGUCCUUCAGCUGGCCCUCAAACAAAUAUAUAUUUAAGCCUCAAAUCUAUGUCCGGCCUCAAAUCUAUGUCCUUUCCGCAAAACUAUGUCCUUUUUAAUAUUGCGUCAUAGACGUUCCAAAUCUAUGUCCUUUAUUGUCUCAAAUCUAUGUCCUGUAUUGUCUCACAUCUAUGUCCUUUAUUUACUCAAAUCUAUGGCCAUUUUUGACUCAAAUCUAUGUCCUUUCAUCGACGUAAAACAUAACAAAACGUCAUCAAGUAAACAAUGAAAAGUUAACAAUAACAGGUGUAAGUACGGCCUUCAACACGGAGCAUUAACUCACACCGAACAAACAUAGUACAAGUGGUUUAUAUGACAAAAGCAAGGUUAACAUUUUAACUAUUACUACACAUGAUUUAAAAUUGCUUUAUGAUUUGUCUUUAAAACUGGAGGAAAAUCUGUUAUGAAUAGUGGACUGAUGAAAUAUUUUCAAAAACGUCAACUAUAGAGAUUUAUCCUCUUGAAAUGUUUUCUGACAAUUAUCAGGAUAUCUUUACUCCUACUAUUGUGGAAUAUUUACAAUUCAAAAC
rnacentral:lncRNA from 1 species